UACGGAGGAUCCGAGCGUUAUCCGGAUUUAUUGGGUUUAAAGGGUGCGCAGGCGGAGGAUUAAGUCGGCGGUGAAAUUUUGCAGCUCAACUGUAAAAGUGCCUUCGAAACUGGUUUCCUUGAGUGUAGAUGAAGUAGGCGGAAUUUGUGGUGUAGCGGUGAAAUGCUUAGAUAUCACGAGGAACUCCGAUUGCGAAGGCAGCUUACUAAUCCAUCAUUGACGCUGAGGCACGAAAGCGUGGGGAUCAAACAGGAUUAGAUACCCCGGUAGU
rnacentral:rRNA from 1 species